GUGCUCACUUUGGCAGCACAUAUACUAAAAUUGGAAUGACACAGAGAAAAUUAGCAUGGCCCCU
rnacentral:snRNA from 1 species